rnacentral:rRNA from 1 species
UACAGAGGUCUCAAGCGUUGUUCGGAUUCAUUGGGCGUAAAGGGUGCGUAGGCGGCGCGGUAAGUCGGGUGUGAAAUCUCGGAGCUUAACUCCGAAACUGCAUUCGAUACUGCCGUGCUUGAGGACUGGAGAGGAGACUGGAAUUUACGGUGUAGCGGUGAAAUGCGCAGAUAUCGUAAGGAGGACCAGUGGCGAAGGCGGGUCUCUGGACAGUUCCUGACGCUGAGGCACGAAGGUCAGGGGAGCAAACGGG